rnacentral:sRNA from 1 species
GCCAGGAAUGGUGAUGCACUCCUGUAAUCCCAGAGGCUCGGGAGGCUGAGGCAGGAGGAUCAUUGGUUCAAUGCCAGCCUCAGCAACUUAGUGAGGCCCUAAGCAACUCAGUGAGAUACUAUCUCUA